rnacentral:rRNA from 1 species
CGGACGGGUGAGUAAUGUAUGGGGAUCUGCCUGAUGGCGGGGGAUAACUACUGGAAACGGUAGCUAAUACCGCAUAACGUCGCAAGACCAAAGAGGGGGACCUUCGGGCCUCUUGCCAUCGGAUGUGCCCAGAUGGGAUUAGCUAGUAGGUGGGGUAACGGCUCACCUAGGCGACAAUCCCUAGCUGGUCUGAGAGGAUGACCAGCCACACUGGAACUGAGACACGGUCCAG